GAGAAAGCAGCGCUCUGCCUGAGAAUCACCAAUAUUCUGCACAGAGCUGAAGACGUGAGCAAAGCUCAGAAAAAUAAUGGAAAUAAGAAGCAUCAGCUCUAAUAAGAAAGCACUGCGAGUCCUGAUGGAUUGAGAACAAAACCUUCCACGCAGGAAGAGAAAACAGCGCAGGAAAAUGCCCUUUUCCCCCAGCUGACAGAAGCACGUACACAGGAAAACUGCAGCUUGCCCACGGCAGCUCUGUGUCCCUCAGCUCUGCUCCACUCUACAAAGUGAUGUCAUCAUGUGCUGCUUUAGUCCUGAGGUGCCUCCAAUGGCCGCUGUGCCAUCUCAGCUGCUCUUCAGAGCUUCUGCAAAUGAACUCCAUCUCUAUCUCCACAGCAACAACUCACAAACAG
ensembl:lncRNA